rnacentral:rRNA from 1 species
UACGAAGGGUGCAAGCGUUACUCGGAAUUACUGGGCGUAAAGCGUGCGUAGGUGGUUUGUUAAGUCUGCUGUGAAAUCCCCGGGCUCAACCUGGGAAUGGCAGUGGAUACUGGCAAGCUAGAGUGCGGUAGAGGGAUGUGGAAUUCCCGGUGUAGCGGUGAAAUGCGUAGAGAUGUGGAGGAACACCAGUGGCGAAGGCGGCGCGCUGGACCACUACUGACGCUGAGGAACGAAAGCUAGGGGAGCAAACAGG